GGGGGCGUAGCUCAACUGGGAGAGCACUAGCUUUGCAAGCUAGGGGUUAGGGGUUCGACCCCCCUCGCCUCCA
rnacentral:tRNA from 1 species